rfam:Sorghum bicolor cultivar BTx623 chromosome 3, whole genome shotgun sequence.
GUAGUCUGAUUUACAUCAAUCCACAUGUGUUGGGGUGGGUUAGAGUGAGAAUUGAACUAAAUUCUACCCUAAUCCACUCUAACACACGUGGACUGAGGUGAAUCCGACA